UAGAGUUUGAUCAUGGCUCAGGAUGAACGCUGGCGGCGUGCUUAACACAUGCAAGUCGAACGGAGUCAUCAUUUUUGAAGCAAUUAGCUUGCUAAGAGUGGAAAUGUUGAUGACUUAGUGGCGGACGGGUGAGUAACGCGUGGGUAACCUGCCAUAUACAGGGGGAUAACACUUAGAAAUAGGUGCUAAUACCGCAUAAGCGCACAGUAUUGCAUGAGACAGUGUGAAAAACUACGGUGGUAUAUGAUGGACCCGCGUCUGAUUAGCUGGUUGGUGAGGUAACGGCCCACCAAGGCGACGAUCAGUAGCCGGCCUGAGAGGGUGGACGGCCACAUUGGGACUGAGACACGGCCCAAACUCCUACGGGAGGCAGCAGUGGGGAAUAUUGGACAAUGGGGGAAACCCUGAUCCAGCGACGCCGCGUGAGUGAAGAAGUAUUUCGGUAUGUAAAGCUCUAUCAGCAGGGAAGAAAAAAAUGACGGUACCUGACUAAGAAGCCCCGGCUAACUACGUGCCAGCAGCCGCGGUAAUACGUAGGGGGCAAGCGUUAUCCGGAUUUACUGGGUGUAAAGGGAGCGUAGACGGCAGGGCAAGUCUGAUGUGAAAGGUCGGGGCCCAACCCCGGGACUGCAUUGGAAACUGUCCGGCUGGAGUACAGGAGAGGUAAGUGGAAUUCCUAGUGUAGCGGUGAAAUGCGUAGAUAUUAGGAGGAACACCAGUGGCGAAGGCGGCUUACUGGACUGUAACUGACGUUGAGGCUCGAAAGCGUGGGGAGCAAACAGGAUUAGAUACCCUGGUAGUCCACGCCGUAAACGAUGAUUACUAGGUGUCGGUGGGCAUGGGCCCAUCGGUGCCGCAGCCAACGCAAUAAGUAAUCCACCUGGGGAGUACGUUCGCAAGAA
rnacentral:rRNA from 1 species